GCGACUAGGCUCCUUUCCUGAUUGCACAGAGGGCUGUUAUCUGGGACGGUGAUCUUGUUCAAAUGACCUGAUACGCUCUUUGGGACACGGCUGAACAGAGCUUGGGACCCUAAAGCUCCCACAGCCUCCGCUUCUGGAUGCUCAGCGUUGCCACGGAAAGCCAGGAGGCUGACUCAUCUGGAUCCCCAAGCAAAGUUCCCAGACUCCAUUCCUGCUGGAACUGACCAGCAAUACACUCUCAGAUCACGGUGGUACUUUUCGCUGGAAUAAAAGGCUUCUGCCAUCUUCAGAGUAGAGAGGAGUAGCGGACAGCCAGCCACUCCCGGGGGAUGGAUGUCAGACGUACCCAAGAGGAAUUCAGCCCAGAGAAUGAAAGAACUCGGGUAUUAACAUCCAACAGAUGGAGACUGAAUCUCAGCUCCAUCCUUUAGUCAUUGUG